ensembl:lncRNA
GGGUAGUCUAGUGGUUAGAGUGUAGAGGCGGCAGGUAGCCUAGUGGUUAGAGUGUAGAGGCGGCAGGGUAGCCUAGUGGUUAGAGUGUAGAGGUGGCAGGGUAGCCUAGUGUUUAGAGUGUAGAGGUGGUAGGGUAGCCUAGUGGUUAGAGUCUAGGGACAGUAGGGUAGCCUAGUGGUUAGAGUGUAGAGGCGGCAGGUAGUCUAGUGGUUAGAGUGUAGAGGAGGUAGGGUAGCCUAGUGGUUAGAGUGUAGAGGAGGCAGGUAGCCUAGUGGUUAGAGUGUAGAGGAGGCAGGUAGCCUAGUGGUUAGAGUGUAGAGGAGGCAGGUAGCCUAGUGGUUAGAGUGUAGAGGAGGCAGCAUAGCCUAGUGGUUAGAGUGUAGAGGCGGCAGGGUAGCCUAGUGGUUAGAGUGUAGAGGUGGAAGGGUAGCCUAGUGGUUAGAUUGUAGAGGAGGCAGGUAGCCUAGUGGUUAGAGUGUAGAGGAGGCAGGGUAGCCUAGUGGUUAGAGUGUAGAGGCAGCAGGGUAGCCUAGUGGUUAGAGUGUAGAGGAGGCAGGGUAGCCUAGUGGUUAGAGUGUAGAGGAGGCAG